rnacentral:rRNA from 1 species
UACGUAGGGGUGCAAAGCGUUUGUCCGGAAUUAUUGGGCGUAAAGAGCUUGUAGGCGGUUUGUCGCGUCUGCUGUGAAAUUUCGGGGCUCAACCCCGAACUUGCAGUGGGUACGGGCAGACUAGAGUGUGGUAGGGGAGACUGGAAUUCCUGGUGUAGCGGUGAAAUGCGCAGAUAUCAGGAGGAACACCGAUGGCGAAGGCAGGUCUCUGGGCCAUAACUGACGCUGAGAAGCGAAAGCCAGGGGAGCGAACGGG